rnacentral:rRNA from 1 species
GACGAACGCUGGCGGCGUGCUUAACACAUGCAAGUCGAACGAGGAGCGAUGGAAGCUUGCUUCUAUCAAUCUUAGUGGCGAACGGGUGAGUAACGCGUAAUCAACCUGCCCUUCAGAGGGGGACAACAGUUGGAAACGACUGCUAAUACCGCAUACGAUCUAAUCUCGGCAUCGAGGAUAGAUGAAAGGUGGCCUCUACAUGUAAGCUAUCACUGAAGGAGGGGAUUGCGUCUGAUUAGCUAGUUGGAGGGGUAACGGCCCACCAAGGCGAUGAUCAGUAGCCGGUCUGAGAGGAUGAACGGCCACAUUGGGACUGAGACACGGCCCAGACUCCUACGGGAGGCAGCAGUGGGGAAUCUUCCGCAAUGGACGAAAGUCUGACGGAGCAACGCCGCGUGAGUGAUGACGGCCUUCGGGUUGUAAAGCUCUGUUAAUCGGGACGAAAGGCCUUCUUGCGAAUAGUGAGAAGGAUUGACGGUACCGGAAUAGAAAGCCACGGCUAACUACGUGC